GAUGAACGCUGACAGAAUGCUUAACACAUGCAAGUCUACUUGAACUUCGGUUUGGGUGGCGGACGGGUGAGUAACGCGUAAAGAACUUGCCUCACAGUUAGGGACAACAUUUGGAAACGAAUGCUAAUACCUGAUAUUAUGAUUUUAGGGCAUCCUAAAAUUAUGAAAGCUAUAUGCGCUGUGAGAGAGCUUUGCGUCCCAUUAGCUAGUUGGAGAGGUAACGGCUCACCAAGGCGAUGAUGGGUAGCCGGCCUGAGAGGGUGAACGGCCACAAGGGGACUGAGACUCGGCCCUUACUCCUACGGGAGGCAGCAGUGGGGAAUAUUGGACAAUGGACCAAAAGUCUGAUCCAGCAAUUCUGUGUGCACGAUGACGUUUUUCGGAAUGUAAAGUGCUUUCAGUUGGGAAGAAAAAAAUGACGGUACCAACAGAAGAAGUGACGGCUAAAUACGUG
rnacentral:rRNA from 1 species